rnacentral:rRNA from 1 species
GUGGCAAGCGUUAUCCGGAAUUAUUGGGCGUAAGGCGUCCGCAGGCGGCCCUACAAGUCUGCUGUUAAAAAGUGGAGCUUAACUCCAUCAUGGCAGUGGAAACUGUUGGGCUUGAGUGUGGUAGGGGCAGAGGGAAUUCCCGGUGUAGCGGUGAAAUGCGUAGAUAUCGGGAAGAACACCAGUGGCGAAGGCGCUCUGCUGGGCCAUCACUAACGCUCAUGGACGAAAGCCAGGGGAGCGAAAGGGAUUAGAUACCCCUGUAGUCCUGGCCGUAAACGAUGAACACUAGGUGUCGGGGGAAUCGACCCCUCCGGUGUCGUAGCCAACGCGUUAAGUGUUCCGCCUGGGGAGUACGCACGCAAGUGUGAAACUCAAAGGAAUUGACGGGGGCCCGCACAAGCGGUGGAGUAUGUGGUUUAAUUCGAUGCAACGCGAAGAACCUUACCAGGGUUUGACAUGGGAAGUACCGGUUACAGAAUGGUAACCUUCAGUUCGGCUGGCUUCCACACAGGUGCUGCAUGGCU